rnacentral:lncRNA from 1 species
AAAGGCCCGGCUCAGAAAGGCAAGGCCAACUAAGUCCAGGCCAGGCAAGAUCAGACAAGGCCAGGCCAGACAAGGCCAAGCCAGGCCAGACCAGACAAAACAAGGCUAGGCCAGGCCAGGGAAAGCUAGGCAAGUCCAGGCCAGGCAAGGCAAGGAUAGGCCAGGGAAGGCCAGGACAGGACAAGCUAGGCAAAGCAAGGCAAAGCACAUCAAGGACAGGCAUGACAAGGCAAGACACGGCAAGGCCAGGCAAGGCCGAGCCAGGCCAGACAACGCCAGGCAAGGCAAGGAUAGGCCAGGCAAGGCCAGGCUAGGCCAAGCCAGGCCUGGCCAGGCAAGGUUAGGCCAGGCAAUUCAAGGCCAGGUCAGGCCAAGCAAGGCAAGGCAAGGCAAUGCAUGGCCAGGCAAGGCAAGGCCACGAAAGGCAAGGCAAGGCCAGGCAUGGCCAGGCAAGGCAAGGCCACGGAAGGCAAGGCAAGGCAAGGCAUGGCCAGGCAAGGCAAGGCCACGGAAGGCAAGGCAAGGCAAGGCAUGGCCAGGCAAGGCAAGGCCACGGAAGGCAAGGCAAGGCAAGGCAUGGCCAGGCAAGGCAAGGGAAGGCCAGUCUGGCAAGGCAAAGCCAGGCAAGGCAAUGCAAGGCCAAGCCAGGCAAGGAAAAGGCCAGGAAAAGGAAAGGCCAGGCAAGGGCAUGCUUGCAGUGCAAGGACAGCAUCCCGUCUGGUGGAUGAGGGAAAGGCUGUUGAUGUGGUCUACCUAGACUUCAGCAAAGCCUUUGACACUGUCUCUCACAGUAUUCUCCUCCAGAAGCUGGCAGAUCGUGGCUUGGACAGAUACAUUCUUUGCUGGGUAAGGAACUGGCUGGAGGGCCGGGCCCAGAGACUGGUAGUGAACGGAGUUAAAUCCAGCUGGCGACCGGACACGAGUGGGGUUC